rnacentral:rRNA from 1 species
UCGAGAAUUUUUCACAAUGGGGGCAACCCUGAUGGAGCGACGCCGCGUGGAGGAUGAAGGUUUUCGGAUUGUAAACUCCUGUCACUGCAGAACAAAAUCAUGCGUUCUAAUAAAGCGUAUGGUCGAUGGUAUGCGGAGAGGAAGGGACGGCUAACUCUGUGCCAGCAGCCGCGGUAAUACAGAGGUCCCGAGCGUUGUUCGGAUUCAUUGGGCGUAAAGGGUGUGUAGGAGGUCAGGUAAGUCGGAUGUGAAAUCUCGCCGCUUAACGGCGAAAUGGCAUUCGAAACUACUUGGCUCGAGGAUUGGAGGGGGAGGCGGAAUUCAUGGUGUAGCAGUGAAAUGCGUAGAUAUCAUGAGGAACACCGGUGGCGUAGGCGGCCUCCUAGAAAAUUCCUGACUCUGAAACACGAAAGCCAGGGGAGCAAACGGGAUUAGAUACCCCCGUAGUCC